rnacentral:rRNA from 1 species
AGUGAACGCUGGCGGUAGGCCUAACACAUGCAAGUCGAACGGCAGCACAGUAAGAGCUUGCUCUUACGGGUGGCGAGUGGCGGACGGGUGAGGAAUACAUCGGAAUCUUCUUUUUCGUGGGGGAUAACGUAGGGAAACUUACGCUAAUACCGCAUACGAUCUACGGGUGAAAGCAGGGGAUAUUCGGAGCUUUCGCGACUGAAUGAGCUGAUGUCGGAUUAGCUAGUUGGCGGGGUAAAGGCCCACCAAGGCGACGAUCCGUAGCUGGACUGAGAGGAUGGUCCGCCCCACUGGAAAUGAGACACGGUCCCGACUCCUAAGGGAGGCAGCAGUGGGGAAUAUUGGACAAUGGGGGGAAGCCUGAUCCAGCCAUACCGCGUGGGUGAAGAAGGCCUUCGGGUUGGAAAGCCCUUUUGUUGGGAAAGAAAAGCAGCAGGUUAAUACCCCGCUGUUCUGACGGUAACCAAAGAAUAAGCACCGGCUAACUUCGUG